ensembl:lncRNA
GAAUACCUCCUUGUUUCGGUUGGCUGGUUGUUUAAGCCAGAAUGACUGUGUUUGUUUCCUACAAUCCAGUGGCUUAUCUUCAUCCUGUCUCCCAACAAACAGUAGUUCCAUGCCUGAGCUUCCAGGAAAAGAGCCACGUCCCUGGAGGAUAGUCUCCCUUGAGCAUAAUCCAGGAAACUAACUAGAAUAACGAAAGAACCCGUGGCGGGCCUGUGACUCGCCCUGCCCAACCUCACUCAAGCCAUGCCUCCUCCAUGGUGCCUUCCACACAGCCAAGACUGUUAGCAUUCUGUCUAAGCUCCACCCCCACAGUUACCUGGCAACAGCUGGGUAUGCUCCGCCCCACAGUUACCUGGCAACAGACAACUGUGCCUGACACUGCUUGUCCCCUCCUCACUCUCUUGCUCUCUUGCUCUUGCCCUCUCCCCCUUCCCCAAUCCCCUUCCCUCCACGUGCUCAUGGCCGACCUUUACUCCUCUUCUACCCUUCUCUCAUUAACCCUCUCCACUUGGCAACCAUGUUGGCCUGGUGUGGUUUGUCCAGUCGCGAGCCGAGAUUUCUGCCCCAACAAAGACACUUGCUCUCCUGUUCUAUUCCUUCACGACUGUUACAGUUUGGAUCUUUAAAAUUUGUUUUGUUUUAUGUAAAUGGGUAUUUAGAUUGCGUGUUUGUCCGCGCAUCGUUUGCAUGCCUGCUGACCUUUUGAAACCAGAAGAGGGUGUUGGAGUCCCUGGAAUUUAAGUUACAGAAGGUUGUGAGCCACCAAGUGGGUGUCGGGAAGUGGAAACGAGUCUGGAAGAGCAGCCACUGAGCCACUCUAGUCCAUGCAGUUUGCAUCUUGAACGGCCCUGCAAAGUACUGAAGACUUGGUCCCCAGAUGAUGUCACUAGGAAGGGCUUUGGCACCUUCCUAGUUCAAGGAGGUGAGUCUGUGGCAUUAGCCUGUGGAGAAUUGAGCUCCAAGCCCCUUCCUCUCUCUUCUCAGCCAUCUCAAAGACUACUUUUACUCCACCACAUGACCCCCACGCGUUGCCUAACGAAGCCAGGCUACCUUACCCUGGACCAAAGCCUCAGGUAUUUGGUCAAAGUGACAAAACCUAAUAUAAUGAUGGUGUCUUUUCAUUCCAUUGUAGCUGGAGUUUAUUGUUUUCAGAGGCGACCCACACAUUACAAAAUCUUUGAAGUCAGAGAACCUUGGGGAGAGUUUCAGGUCAGAAUCUGCCCUUUGAUACAAGUUAUUUAAAUCAAGAAAAUAAUAUUCACUCAGUAGGAUUCUUCCUGUGGGGUAAAGACAACGUAUGUAAACUCAGUAACGUGCAGAUGGUGUGGUGGUUCCCCGUUAUCCCCUCCUUUGGGUGUUCUUUCUGAUCAUUUACACUCUGUCACACGGGUCAGGUGCCUUGCUAAGAUCACCUGUUCACUCUGGAGCCUGUCAUUUGUCCAUCUUUGUGUCCUCAGAGCCUACUGCAGAACCCAGAGAAUGGAACGAGUAAAUGUUUAUGCAUAUGGACUUAGCGUUCACAGUACACCGUGAGCCUUUGAAUUCCCAGAAGAACACGCUAUCCCUGGAACUGAGAACCUGACUCAGGAGUGGCACGCUGUGGACAAGCAGGAGACGUCAUUCCAACCUGACAGACUGUCAUGAGAAUUAAGUGAAGAAAUCUGGAGCAGUAGGUCCAGGACCCUGCACACACAUCUCGUUAGAAUUGUCAUGUGCAGGGUCUUGGAAAAUAGCCAAGUGUUCAUGGUUUUCUUCUUGGAUCCUCACCGUAAUCUCAGGAGGCAGGCAGGUCCGACCAGAAGAAUUAAAGUCAUUUAAGAUUAUGUGGAUGAUCAUCAUGGGGGCUGGAAUCCGUCUUGCAGGUGUGUGCUGGAGUGUAAACAGCUGGAGUGUAAACAGCUGGAGGCCUGAGCUUGGGUUGAAUUCCUAUCUUUGCUCUGCCAUGAGCUAGCCCUGUGCUCCUGUGCAGAUCCUGUCUGUGUGCAUCAUGGGUAUUUCCUGUCUUACAGGUCAGUUGUGAGGAGUGGAUGAGCUAGUGCUAAUUAGACAUCCAGCAGAGCAUCCAGUGGGUGCUCAAUAAACGUUCAUGCCCAGGCUCAUGCCACUUGCUGUCUUGCUGUUGGGCCGUGUGUUGGUGGUCAUUUCUGUGGGGCGUUAUACUCCAUCUGUGCCACACCCACUCCAGUAGAGUCUGUGUGACCUGAAGCUCUUGUGGUUCGUUUCUGUCCAGAACAGAGGCCUCCUGGAGUUCCUGGCCGUCUCCCUGCAAAAAGAUGACAACUAGGGUCUAUGCUUGCGGUGGAGGUGCCUUCUGUGUUCUAGCCUUGGUGAUCUUAGCAACUUUAAGCCUGUCAACAAUAUCUGAUUUUAAGAACAUAGCAGGGUGGGAAGAUGGUCAUGUACCUUUAGAUGUCUCAGGAACUGAAAGUUCGGAGAUGGAAACGUCUCACACCAUCAUGAUCCUGAUAAACUCAACGGCCGCGAUGAAUUCAACUGCUGUACCCAUUAGCUCCCAGCAAAUAGGAGAGAAAUUAAUUGCAGCUACUAACAAUAUGACUGUUCCAGAAAAGCCUUUCCCCCGUUUUGGAAAAGUUUUGUUUAGCAUGAUUCAAAACAGUAAUGAUUCUUUUAAAAAGAUCAUAGACAAGUUCCAACAAGUUGAACAAAUUUAUCAAGAGUUAACCCUGUUUCCACUGAGAGUGGAAGUGAUGGCCCUUGUACCAGCUAUCAGUCAGGGAAGAAAGCAAAGGGGUCAUCUCUGUGCCUGCACCAAAUCUGCUAGAGAGGGGUGUGUGUGUGUGUGUGUGUGUGUGUGUGUGUGUGUGUGUGUGAGAGAGAGAGAGAGAGAGACAGACAGACAGACAGACAGAGACAGAGAACGUGUACAUGUGCAUAGGUGUGUAUGGUGUAGUUUCAUAGUUUUCCAAACCUGGCUUUUUCUGUCUACAUCAUUUUCUAAGAUAUUUCGGUUGUUCAGUGUGUGUCCCUGUGGUCAUCACUAUUGACUUUUUUGACUUAAUCCUGCUGUUGGUUUUGACAGAUCUUUUAAUACCAUUAUAGCUGCAUUUCCUCUUACAGAUGUUUAUUAUGGGCCAGGUGCACAUGACUUUUGUUUUGUGGCUGUUGAAUUUUUGCGUUUCAGACCUGCAGUUAUCAAAUGAGCUGUUCUCCAUCUCUCCUGACUACCUUUUCAGGAGAGAGGGAAUUAGUAGAGAAAGAGCAUAUGGUGGGAAUAAGGUGGUC